rnacentral:lncRNA from 1 species
UUCAAACACCCUUUAAUCACACUUUUCAGAUGAUUUUUCUCAAAACAAACACGUUUUCAAGCUAAGAAUAUUUUGCAUUUGAAGUUAUCUUCAUAUAGAAAUAUCAGUAUACUUAAAAAACACAAAGACCUGAACAUAAACUGAAGAAAACAUGGAAAGAUAUGGGGAAAAUGAGCACCCAACUCUACAAAUUUUAUAUAGAAUGAUAGUAACUUGUAAAUUGUGCACAUGAGAUGAUGAAAUCUAAAUGAUAGAAUGCACAUUUAGACACCAAGAAAUAUUAUAUAUAAAAUAAAACACUGCCUGGAGAUAAAAACAUUUAGACACCAUGAAAUAUAUAAAAUAAAACAUGGCCUGAAGAUAAAUAGAAAGAAAAUAAAACAGCACUGUUAUUCCUUGUUUUGAAAAAUUUCAAUAUGGA